GCGUGUGUGUGCAUGUGUGUCUUCUCUAUGGACUGUAUACAUAUAUACACCUCUGCCUAUAUAUGUAUAUCUCGUUUUAAAAAUAGCACUAUUUUAAUUUUUCUCGCACUCUGCUGAAGGACUUUUUCAGACUCUUGUAGUACUCGGCAGUAUUUAUUUUCACUGAAUUUAUUACACUUUAUUUUAUUUUUUUGUGCAUUUCUAUUGGAUUUUUUUAUGCACUUACAGUCGUUUUAGCAGUAUUUUUAGCAGUAAUUUUUUUUCCUCAUUCUGCUGAAGCUUUUGUAGUAUAAAACUAUUUAUUUUAACAGAAUCUAUUCAUUUUUUGUACUCUGUUGGUGAAUUUUUGGAUUGUAGUUCAAAGCCAGGAGAGCCGGAGGACAGGACGGAGAACGUCAAGAACGGAAGAAAUGCGAAGCUACCCAGGAUCUAUAUGCUCUCCUCUUUCCUUGUCUCUUCUAUUUUCGCAGGAAAAAGACAGAACGAGUAGGGAAGAACGAGAUGUCGGUCAAGCCGAGUGAAUUUGGUGUGAGACUGUGGUGCAGAUAGACUGCAUUUUUUACAUUUUUAAAUUUAUUUUCAUUUUAUUUACAUUUUUCACAGCGUGCAGCCUCCACUGCUAUGGAUAUAUACAGCAUAUACAAUUGUGUAGAUAUUUAUUUGAUUUAAAUAGAUAAAUACGCUGAAAUUUGCAUUAUUAAAAUAAAAAAUAUACAUAAAAUAGAGAUUUAAUGUAAUUCUGUAAUAAAAAAGCAUGCAAAUUUAGCAUCAGGUUCAAACAGCGAUCAAAUAGGGUCAUAAUAUUAAACCUGCAGGUUUUGCGACAGCCGUAUGUUACCCAUGCAUCCGUGUGUACAGGGAACGCAGUGAAAGUGAGAGAGAGAGAGAGCGAGAGAGAUAUAGAGAGAGACAGAGAGAGAGGCAAAAGGUGGGGGUAGGGAAGGAUGGAGAGAGAGACAGAAGAGAAAGAGAGAGAGAGCGAGAGAGCAAGAGAGAGAGGGCAGUGGUAGCUUUACGUUGCGAUGCUUCUGUGAGCUUUAUUAUGGAUGGCAGAUAUUGGGGCGAAUCCUGGGAGGAUGCUGGAUUAUUUUUCUUUUUUCCCAGCAUUCCCUUGUUCUUUGUGUGGCUUCUGGAGGAUAGGGCUUCUAUUAGCUUGAUACAACAAAGGUACAGCCUCUUCAUCCCUCCAUCUCUCUCUCUCUCUCGCUCUCUCUCUGUUGUGCAUUAGCAUGCAUAGGAACGUGGUGAGUGCUCUGGAUUCCUGCAGGUUUGCCUUGUAAGGUGUAUGUGUGUAUGUGUGCGUGUGCCUUCGUAUGUGACGUGAAGAUAAAAUGGAAAAAAAAACACUGUAUUUGACUCCUCUGGCUGCAAAGGAUGCUCAGAUUUCGCCUGGAAAAGCGGAUCCACAUGCUAUAGCAAC